rnacentral:rRNA from 1 species
CACGUAGGGCGCAAGCGUUGUCCGGAAUUAUUGGGCGUAAAGAGCUCGUAGGCGGUCUGUUGCGUCCGCUGUGAAACUCGGGGCUUAACCCCGAGCCUGCAGUGGAUACGGGCAGACUAGGAGGUAGGUAGGGGAGAAUGGAAUUCCCGGUGUAGCGGUGAAAUGCGCAGAUAUCGGGAGGAACACCGGUGGCGAAGGCGGUUCUCUGGGCCUUACCUGACGCUGAG